rnacentral:snoRNA from 1 species
UGCAGCUUUGUCAAAUUCAGUGCUCCCUCCUCUGUAGGUUGUACUGGCCAAAAUGGCUGCAAUAGUGACUUUGUAGUUCAUGGGCCUCAUAUUUCUCUUUCAUGGACUUUGGGGAUAAAUAUGUACUACACACAACA